rnacentral:rRNA from 1 species
CAUUAAUGUACAUUGUAGCUUUGUCUUAGUUAAUAUAACUAAAAUAAUUUGGCAGUGAGCGACUCUUUUUAGGGGAAGGUGUGGUGUAAAGGAUGUUCCCCCUAAUAAUUUACUUUCGUUAUGUUGGUGUAUAUCUGGUUUAAUAUUAUCGUUGAGUAAGUGAGUUUGUGUAGUUUUAUUUAAACCAAGUCUAUGUGCUGCUUAUGAAAGUAUUCAUGCGUUACAUUUAUAAGGUUUUGGUUGUAAUACUAAAAUAUUUAGGACUUAAAAGUAAUGUUCCAUAAGUUUGUGAGUGUGAAGUAAGUUUAGCUCA